rnacentral:rRNA from 1 species
AUUGAACGCUGGCGGCAUGCCUUACACAUGCAAGUCGAACGGUAACAGGUCUUCGGAUGCUGACGAGUGGCGAACGGGUGAGUAAUACAUCGGAACGUGCCCGAUCGUGGGGGAUAACGAAGCGAAAGCUUUGCUAAUACCGCAUACGAUCUACGGAUGAAAGCAGGGGACCGCAAGGCCUUGCGCGAACGGAGCGGCCGAUGGCAGAUUAGGUAGUUGGUGGGAUAAAAGCUUACCAAGCCGACGAUCUGUAGCUGGUCUGCGAGGACGACCAGCCACACUGGGACUGAGACACGGCCCAGACUCCUACGGGAGGCAGCAGUGGGGAAUUUUGGACAAUGGGCGAAAGCCUGAUCCAGCCAUGCCGCGUGCAGGAUGAAGGCCUUCGGGUUGUAAACUGCUUUUGUACGGAACGAAAAGACUCUGGUUAAUACCUGGGGUCCAUGACGGUACCGUAAGAAUAAGCACCGGCUAACUACGUGCCAGCAGCCGCGGUAAUACGUAGGGUGCAAGCGUUAAUCGGAAUUACUGGGCGUAAAGCGUGCGCAGGCGGUUAUAUAAGACAGAUGUGAAAUCCCCGGGCUCAACCUGGGAACUGCAUUUGUGACUGUAUAGCUAGAGUACGGCAGAGGGGGAUGGAAUUCCGCGUGUAGCAGUGAAAUGCGUAGAUAUGCGGAGGAACACCGAUGGCGAAGGCAAUCCCCUGGGCCUGUACUGACGCUCAUGCACGAAAGCGUGGGGAGCAAACAGG